rnacentral:tRNA from 2 species
GCCAGAUUAGCUCAGUUGGUAGAGCAUCGGUUUUGUAAACCGCAGGUCAUCAGUUCGAAUCUGAUAUCUGGCUCCA